rnacentral:misc_RNA from 1 species
AACGCACAUUGCGCCCUUUGGUAUUCCGAAGGGCAUGCCUGUUCGAGCGUCAUUUUCACCCCUCAAGCCUUAUGGGUUUGGAGUUGGAUGGCCUGGUCUAGGGAAGCCUAGACCCCUCCCAAAGAUAAUGACGGCGGCUGUUUGAACCCCCGGUACACUGAGCUUUUUCAUUGAGCACGUAUCGGAUCAAGGGUUCAGCGUGGCCGGUCUACCACCUUUCUCUUCUAAGGUUGACCUCGAAUCAGGUAGGAAUACCCGCUGAACUUAA